GGAGGAUUACUCCCAUCUUUGUUUCCUUUGAGGCCAUCCAUAUCCAUGGAGAGUUUAAUAAUACACGUAUUUGAUAGUUUCUCAUGUUGCUAAUUAUUUGAAUUUUUUUAUCUUUGUGAUAUUUUUAUGGAUGUAGAUUAUUAUUAUUAUUAUUAUUUGAUAAAUAUGGAUGUAGAUUGUUCGGUACAGUGAUUUAGUGCUUAUUUGGAUUUAAUAUAAGAAUCGGACUGAUAGCCUGUCUGGUCUUUUUUUUUUUCCUGCUAAAAGUCUAUUCUAAUAUUGGCUAAAUCACAUCUAUUGGCCUG
rnacentral:lncRNA from 1 species